rnacentral:rRNA from 1 species
AGAGUUUGAUCCUGGCUCAGGACGAACGCUGGCGGUGUGCUUCACACAUGCAAGUCGAGCGAAUGAAGAAGGUAGCUUGCUACUUUUGGAUUUAGCGGCGGACGGGUGAGUAAUAUAUAGGAAUCUGCCCUAGAGCGGGGAACAACAGACCGAAAGGUUUGCUAAUGCCCCAUAGGUACGCAGUCUUCGGAUUGUUUAUUAAAGGAGUAAUCCACUCUAGGAUGAGCCUGUAUCCGAUUAGCUAGUUGGCGGGGUAAAGGCCCACCAAGGCUACGAUCGGUAGUUGGUCUGAGAGGAUGAUCAGCCACAAUGGGACUGAGACACGGCCCAUACUCCUACGGGAGGCAGCAGUGGGGAAUUUUACACAAUGGGGGAAACCCUGAUGUAGCGACACCGCGUGAACGAAGAAGCCUUUUGGGGUGUAAAGUUCUGUCGGCUGGAACGAAAAAAAUGACGGUACCAGCAAAGGAAGCAUCGGCUAACUACGUGCCAGCAGCCGCGGUAAGACGUAGGAUGCAAGCGUUGUCCGGAUUUAUUGGGCGUAAAGAGUUCGUAGGCGGUUAUUUAAGUCUGGUGUUAAAUACUGUGGCCCAACCACAGAACUGCAUUGGAUACUGGAUGACUUGAGUGCGGUAGAGGCUAGUGGAAUUCCCAGUGUAGCGGUGAAAUGCGUAGA